rnacentral:rRNA from 1 species
AAACUAACAAGGAUUCCCCUAGUAACGGCGAGUGAAGCGGGAAGAGCUCAAAUUUAAAAUCUGGCAGGCUACGCUUGUCCGAAUUGUAAUCUCGAGAAGUGUUUUCCGCGUUGGCCUGUGUACAAGUCCCUUGGAACAGGGCGUCAUAGAGGGUGAGAAUCCCGUCCUUGACACAGAUACCCAAUGCUUUGUGAUACACUCUCAAUGAGUCGAGUUGUUUGGGAAUGCAGCUCAAAAUGGGUGGUAAAUUCCAUCUAAAGCUAAAUACUGGCGAGAGACCGAUAGCGAACAAGUACCGUGAGGGAAAGAUGAAAAGCACUUUGGAAAGAGAGUCAAACAGUACGUGAAAUUGUUGAAAGGGAAACGAUUGAAGUCAGUCGUGCCUGCCUAGUCUCAGCCUUUUGGUGUACUACUAGGCCGGCAGGUCAGCAUCAGUUUGGGAGGAUUAACAAGGGAGUUAGGAAUGUGGCAACCUCGGUUGUGUUAUAGCCUAGCUUCGCAUUGAUCUUGCUGGACUGAGGAACGCAGUGCGCCCGCAAGGGUUGGUCUUCGGACACAUUCGCACUUAGGAUGCUGGCAUAAUGGCUUUAAACGAC